rnacentral:rRNA from 1 species
AAUGAACGUUGGCGGCGUGGAUUAGGCAUGCAAGUCGUACGGGUGUAGCAAUACACCAGUGGCGAAAGGGACAGUAAUAUAUCGAUCAUCUGCCCUCAGGACGGGAAUAGCGGCGGGAAACUGCCGGUAAUGCCCGAUAAUGUCUCCGGACCAAAGGUGUGAGUCCGCCUGGGGAUGAGUCGAUAUCCUAUUAGCUUGUUGGCGGGGUAAUGGCCCACCAAGGCGAUGAUGGGUAGCGGGUGUGAGAGCACGACCCGCGUCAUUGGGACUGAGACACUGCCCAGACACCUACGGGUGGCUGCAGUCGAGAAUCUUCGGCAAUGGACGCAAGUCUGACCGAGCGACGCCGCGUGCGGGAUGAAGGCCUUCGGGUUGUAAACCGCUGUCAGUGGGGAGGAAGGCGCUGUGAAGAGCAGUGUUUGACCUAUCCGCAGAGGAAGUGUGGGCUAAGUUCGUGCCAGCAGCCGCCGCUAACAC